rnacentral:rRNA from 1 species
CGGACGGGUGAGUAACACGUGGAUAACCUACCUAUAAGACUGGGAUAACUUCGGGAAACCGGAGCUAAUACCGGAUAAUAUUUUGAACCGCAUGGUUCAAAAGUGAAAGACGGUCUUGCUGUCACUUAUAGAUGGAUUCGCGCUGCAUUAGCUAGUUGGUAAGGUAACGGCUUACCAAGGCAACGAUGCAUAGCCGACCUGAGAGGGUGAUCGGCCACACUGGAACUGAGACACGGCCCAG